rnacentral:rRNA from 1 species
GACGAACGCUGGCGGCGUGCUUAAUACAUGCAAGUCGAACGAAGUGGCGCACGGGUGAGUAACGCGUAAUCAACCUGCCCUUCAGAGGGGGACAACAGGUGGCAACGACUACUAAUACCUCAUACUUUAGGAGGGGGGUGCGGCUGAUUGGCUCGUUGGCGGGGUACCGGCCCACCAAGGCGAGGAUCAGUAGCCUGGUUGGGAGGAUGGACCGCCCACGUGGGACUGGGGCACGGGCCAGAAUCCUAAGGGGGGCAGGCGGGGGGAAUCUUCCGAAAUGGAGGUAAGUCUGACGGCGCCACGCCGCGGGAGUGAUGACGGGCUUCGGGUUGUAAAGCUAUGUUAAUCGGGGAGCGGUACCGGAAUAGAAAGCAACGGCUAACUACGUGCCAGCAGCCGCGGUAAUUC